rnacentral:lncRNA from 1 species
AAUAUCAAAAGUAAAUUGUUUAAUUAAACCUUAAUAAAAUCCUAAUGUAAUCUUCAAAAAACUUUAAUGAAAUCCUAAACCAAAUUCUAAACAAAUCCUAAUGAAAUCCUAAAUCCUAAUCACACAUUAAUUAAAUUCUAAAUCCUAAUCUUAGAACAAACUUUAAUAAAAUCUUAAAUCUUAAUCAAAUACUAAUUAAAUCUUAAUCAAAUUCUAAUCUUAAAUCAAAUCCAAAUAAAAUCCUUAAUCUUAAUUAAGUCCUAAUCAAAUCUUAAUCAAAUCCUAAAUAAAUUUUAAUAAAGUCCUAAAUAAAUUCUAAUCAAAUCAUAAUCAAAUCUUAUAUAAAUCCUAAAUCUUAACCAAACUCUAAAUCAAAUCUUAAGUAAAUCCUAAAUAAAUCUUAGAUACUAAAAUAACUUUAA